UAUUUUUGUUGAGUGUAAUUACAAUUAAAUUUGUACAGGUACCACUAUAUUUUUAUAGUGUUUUUAUUGUGUAACUUUGUUCAAAACCAUUCGCUCUUCAGUAAAUUAAAUUUAGAACAUUACUGUUUUAUUAUGUACAUUGUUUUCCAGAUUUUAAAUAAAGUUUUGAAUGUAACGGCUGUGACCCACAUCUGUUCCACCUGGCGACCACCAAGCUAGCAGCUGCCAGUAAAAGUGAACGAUGUCAUCCCUUCAUUUAGCCAACAAAAACAUCCAUGUUUCAUGCAGAGGACAAGCCCGUGGCUCCGAUCCCGGUGAUCCCUUCAUUCACGGACACACUGAGGAGCACUGCGGACCCCAGGACUGUAUGGAGGCCAUAUCUCACCCAGCCACGGUCAUGGCUGCAGAAAAUAUUUCGCCCCCUACUCAGCCUAUUGACAUGUCGUUUUUAAGCGAUGACGAGUGUCUGGUGAUGCCAAGAGAAAAGACACCAACAUUGUUUGGAGAGGUUCCAGAUUCUGUGCUGGCCAAAAUCAGAGGUGAAGAAAACCAAAGUUCAUCACCUGCCAAAGGCACCACAUCUUCUCAGAGGCGUCCCCUGCCAGCUGCUAGAGUCUGCUUGGAGAAGAGAUUUAACACCAUGUCGGCUGUCACCCCAAGUUUUUUAACCAUACUUCAGCAGCAGUCAGCAGAGGAUCAGGAGGUCAUCAUGCGUCCUCAAAAGCAGAAGUGGAUAAAAACUGACAGAGAACAUCACUUGUGCUACAUUUUUGAACCUGUCGAAUUUGGUCAGGUUAUUAGUCACGUGGUUGAACCAAACAACCACCGGAGUUUAAUCAUCCCCAACAGAGUAUCACUCAGUCUUCACCCUGUUCCUAAAGAUCAUGACUCCGGUGGCGGCAGCCUAGCAGAUGAGCGACAGUUAGUUAAGAAUGAAAAGGAGUUGGUGCCACCUGCUGUCUCAAUGAAUUAUUGUUGCACCCAAACCUCUCAUCCAACCACCAAGGCUGCUGCAGCUGCCCAGAAAUCACAGAGCAGUGCAAGAAGGACUCGACAUGUGCUAUUCGGCCAGCGCAAGGAGAGACACAACAGCAGGGAGAGGGAACGCAGGAAGAGGAUCCGUCUGUACUGCGACCAGCUGAACAUGAUGGUGCCAUUCUGCCGGUCAGAUACAGACAAAGUCAACACCCUGCAGCGGACCACGGCCUUUCUCAAAUGGAUCCAAAAAAGAUACGGAGACGCUCUUAAUGAGGAGUUUGAGAAGACCCACUUUAAAGAUGAUGGAGAAGUAGGUCUUGAAUCCAGCUUUUCUUCAGAUCAGGACGCAGUCAACCAGGAUAUGGACAAGACACUGAGCUUGGGUUUUGGAGCAGAGCAGUAAGCUCCCCAUCGUCUCACCCACUACAUUAACAAAAUAAAACUUUUAUCUAGUGAGGUCUGGUCA
rnacentral:lncRNA from 1 species